AAGGAAAGGUGAAAAGCACCCCGGGAGGGGAGUGAAAGAGAACCUGAAACCUUGUGUUUACAAGCACCGAAAGUCCAUCAAAGGACGAUCGGGUACCUUUUGUAGAAUGGUCCGGCGAGUGUAUGUAUCUAGCAAGGUUAAGCACUUAAGGUGUGAAGCCAAAGCGAAAGCAAGUCUGAACAGGGCGACAAGUUAGAUGUAUACGACCCGAAACCGGGUGACCUACCCAUGGCCAGGCUGAAGUGAAGGUAAAACUUCAUGGAGGGCCGAACCGACUCCCGUUGAAAUGGUAGCGGAUGAGUUGUGGGUAGCGGAGAAAUUCCAAUCGAACCCGGAGAUAGCUGGUUCUCUCCGAAAUAGCUUUAGGGCUAGCCUUGAAAUAGAUUACUGGAGGUAAAGCACUGAAUUGGCUAGGGGCCGAAAGGUUACUGAACCUUAUCAAACUCAGAAUGCCAGAUAAUCGUUUUUCAGGAGUCAGACGGUGGGAGAUAAGUUUCAUCGUCAAAAGGGAAACAGCCCAGACCCACAGCUAAGGUCCCAAAUUAUAGUUAAGUGGAGAAGGAUGUGGGAUUGCAUAGACAACCAGGAUGUUGGCUUAGAAGCAGCCACUCAUUAAAAGAGUGCGUAAUAGCUCACUGGUCGAGUGAUCCCGCGCCGAAAAUUUAACGGGGCUAAACUAUAAACCGAAGCUUGGGAUACCGUAAGGUAUGGUAGGAGAGCGUCAUGUAAGGGGUGAAGUCAUAGCGAAAGCGGUGGUGGACUUUACAUGAGUGAGAAUGCCGGAAUGAGUAGCGAGAAUUAAGUGAGAAUCUUAAUGGCCGAAAGUCUAAGGUUUUUGGAGGAAGGUUCGUCCGCUCCAAGUAAGUCGGGAGCUAAGGCGAGGCCGAAAGGCGUAGUCGAUGCACAUACGGUUGAUAUUCCGUAACCACUGACAACUUAAACAAAAUGACACUUUAGAAGGGCUUGACCCGGGUGCUGGUAAUCCCGGGCGUAAGGGACCGAAAAUUAGUAGGGAAGCAAGCUUAGAUAGAGGCGAGAAAAGUUUUGUGUAUGUAAUGUUGGUGCCCGUACCGCAAACCGACACAGGUGGACAGGAAGAGAAUUCUAAGGCCAGCGGGAGAAGGGUAGUUAAGGAACUCGGCAAAUUGACUCCGUAACUUCGGGAAAAGGAGUGCUCUCGAGAGAGAGCCGCAGUGAAUAGGCCCAGGCGACUGUUUAGCAAAAACACAGGUCUCUGCCAAAUCGAAAGAUGAAGUAUAGGGGCUGACACCUGCCCGGUGCUGGAAGGUUAAGAGGAGGAGUGAGAGCUCCGAAUUGAAGCCCCAGUAAACGGCGGCCGUAACUAUAACGGUCCUAAGGUAGCGAAAUUCCUUGUCGGGUAAGUUCCGACCCGCACGAAUGGUGUAACGAUCUGGGCACUGUCUCAACUACCCGCCCGGCGAAAUUGUAGUACCGGUGAAGAUGCCGGUUACCCGCGACAAGACGGAAAGACCCCAUGGAGCUUUACUGUAGCUUGAUAUUGGGUUUCGGUAAUUUAUGUACAGGAUAUGUGGGAGACUGGGAAGUUAUGGCGCCAGCCAUAAUGGAGUCGAUGUUGGGAUACCACACUUAGAUUGCUGGAAUUCUAACCUGUGGCCAUGAAACUGGUCAGGGGACAUUGUCAGGUGGGCAGUUUGACUGGGGCGGUCGCCUCCGAAAGAGUAACGGAGGCGCUCAAAGGUUGGCUCAGCACGGACGGAAACCGUGCAUUAGAGUGUAAACGCGAAAGCCAGCCUAACUGCGAGGGUGACGGCCCGAGCAGUAACGAAAGUUGGAGUUAGUGAUCCGGCGGUAUGUGAAUGGAAAUGCCGUCGCUCAACGGAUAAAAGCUACCCUGGGGAUAACAGGCUGAUCUCCCCCAAGAGUCCACAUCGACGGGGAGGUUUGGCACCUCGAUGUCGGCUCAUCACAUCCUGGGGCUGUAUUCGGUCCCAAGGGUUCGGCUGUUCGCCGAUUAAAGUGGUACGCGAGCUGGGUUCAGAACGUCGUGAGACAGUUCGGUCCCUAUCUGUCGUGGGCGCAGGAUAUUUGAAGGGCUCUGUCCUUAGUACGAGAGGACCGGGAUGGACGCACCUCUGGUGCACCAGUUGUCACGCCAGUGGCACAGCUGGGCAGCUAUGUGCGGAACGGAUAAACGCUGAAAGCAUCUAAGCGUGAAGCCGACUCCAAGAUUAGAUAUCCCAUCAGAAUAUGAGUAAGACCCCUUGU
rnacentral:rRNA from 1 species